rnacentral:lncRNA from 1 species
UCUCGGAUGCGCCAUCAUCCCUGCUCCUUCACUCCUGACACCCCUUCCGUCGAACACAAUGUGAGCUCUGCCCUGUUGGUGUCUGAUGAAGCGCCGCCGACGGCACCGUGGAGUGCCUAGGGUUCUAUCAUAGGCCGCUCGCAGGUCAUGGGCCCGCGCGACUCCGCAGCAUCGUGAUCCUCCAGCGCGGGCGUGCCGCCGCCAUCAAGACGAACCGGCGCCGCCUUCGGUCGCUGGUGCGUUCCCUCGCUAAUAAGGUCGAUGGCUCCCUUCCCCGCACUGCUUCUUUCCUACUCAUCUUUCAAUUUUUCUCUAUCCUUGCAGUCACCGCAGGUAGCGGCAGCAUGUACGCAUCAGGAGCGGGCGCCUCUUCUUUCGUGCUCUCGCUAGAUCCUCCCAGCAGCAAGUCACCCUCUCCACCACGCCCUUUUCCU